rnacentral:rRNA from 1 species
GUGUCAGCAGCCGCGGUAAUACGUAGGGUGCGAGCGUUAAUCGGAAUUACUGGGCGUAAAGCGUGCGCAGGCUGUUUUGUAAGUCAGAUGUGAAAUCCCUGGGCUCAACCUAGGAACUGCGUUUGAAACUACAAGGCUAGAGUGUAGCAGAGGGGGGUAGAAUUCCACGUGUAGCAGUGAAAUGCGUAGAGAUGUGGAGGAAUACCAAUGGCGAAGGCAGCCCCCUGGGUUAACACUGACGCUCAUGCACGAAAGCGUGGGGAGCAAACAGGAUUAGAUACCCUCGUAGUCC